rnacentral:lncRNA from 1 species
UCUUCGUUAGUUGUAUUUUCAUGUAAGUCGUAUUUCCUUAUGUAACUUUUCUUUGUUAGUAAACAAGUUGACAAACAGUGAGAUAAGUUUUCAUAGACACACAGUCUGAUUUGGAUGUUGGAAAGUGAGUCACAUUAUAGUCAAAUGAAUUCAAUCCAAUAUAUAUAAGGUAAUAAAUAUUAAAUACUCACUACAGUUUUGUAAUUAGCUGAAUAGAAAAUUUUGGAUUAACAAGCAUUUAGAUAGUGAGAUAAAAAAUUGUCAAAGUGUACCUGUUUUGAGGGAUCUCGGCACCUUCAAAGCUUGAAACCUUCUCAUGGCCGAUCUAAACGCAUCUCCCAUCCUUCUCUUUCUCCGUUUUCUUCUCCCACUUCUUCACGCUACAGGAUUAGAGAAUGGGGUUCCAGAGGGAUGCAAUAGGCCCCAGAUGGCUUCAAUGUUCUGUCAAGAAUUAUGAUGUGGAGGCAUGGCAGCUAUCAUGACUUUGAAGGAUGUUAGUGGAUAUCCGUCUCAGAUCAAACCUAUCUCAGAUCAGAAUGAAAUCUAAAGGGAUAAAGAAAAAAAGUUAGAGUACCAAACCUGCAGUGAGUGAGCAAUUAAAAAACUUUCCGUCGAGAGUUUCUGGUAAGAGGGAAAACGAGAACUUAUUUGGGGCACUGUCUCCGUCGAGAGUUUGGGGAUUUCCGUCGAGAGUGAAAGGAGGGUUUGGGGAGUUUUUUGUGGUGAAAGGAGGGUUGAGGGUUUGGGGAUUUCCUUCGAGAGUGAGAAUGAGAUUUAAUUACAAGGAGAGUUGAAACUUGAAAGAAGGGUUUGGGUGUUAUUAAAAGGUUUUAUUAAUUUUAGGGAUUGGGUUUUAGGGAUAAACUUAUUGAUUUGGGUAUUUUUAUUCUAAU